rnacentral:rRNA from 1 species
AGCGAACGCUGGCGGCAGGCCUAACACAUGCAAGUCGAACGAACCUUUCGGGGUUAGUGGCGGACGGGUGAGUAACACGUGGGAACGUGCCUUUAGGUUCGGAAUAAAUCAGGGAAACUUGUGCUAAUACCGAAUGUGCCCUUCGGGGGAAAGAUUUAUCGCCUUUAGAGCGGCCCGCGUCUGAUUAGCUAGUUGGUUGAGGUAAUGGCUCACCCAGGCGACGAUCAGUAGCUGGUCUGAGAGGAUGAUCAGCCACAUUGGGACUGAGACACGGCCCAAACUCCUACGGGAAGCAGCAGUGGGGAAUCUUGCGCAAUGGGCGAAAGCCUGACGCAGCCAUGCCGCGUGAAUGAUGAAGGUCUUAGGAUUGUAAAAUUCUUUCACCGGGGACGAUAAUGACGGUACCCGGAGAAGAAGCCCCGGCUAACUUCGUG